UACUUCCAAAAGUAAACCUUGGUUAUACAUGUUUUAUAUUUGUUCCUAUUCUAUGCUGCUACAAGGACACGUUUGAGUAUAAUGAAUCUUAAGAAGAAAGAAAAAUGCUUCCGUCACAUUAAAAAAAAAUACAUGAUCAGCAGAACUAAGGUAGGGUAGUUUGUAGUAAUGACAUUGCAGGGCUCAUCACAUUUUAGUUAAUGUUGCAAAGUAAGAAAUCUGUGAAGAGAAAUAACAACAUGUAAGGAGACAGUGAAAAAAUGUGUUUUGCUCAUUUAUUGUGACGAGGAUGGUGUCAUUUAAAUAAUUCAUGAUAAUGCUUUGCAGUGUGCCACUGAAUGUACAAUGUGUACUUUGCAAAAAUAACAAAGCUUAGUAAUGUGGGACUUGAAUUUAAUUAUCUGCUCUUAAAUUUCUGAUAAGAAGUAGAAGCUGCCAAAAUUGUGAUGAAAAUGACUAGGAGAACAGCUUGGAGAGAGGCCUGUGGAGGGGAGAGUGGAUUUGGCAGAGGUCCCUGUUUUCUGGUUGCCUAGGUAGCACCUCUAAGCCUUGUCGGGUGGCUUCUUUACAAACACUUUUAUGGCUUGGUCAGGGUCUGGGUGCUGUUCAUACCCCAGUUUCAGUCCCUGGUGCAUUUUUUUUUAAUUAUUUAUUUAUUUAUUUUUGAGCUGGAGUCUUGCUCUGUCACCCAGGCUGGAGUACUGUGGCGUGAUCUCUGCUCACUGCAACCUCCACCUUCUGGAUUCAAGCGAUUCUCCUGUCUCAGCCUCCUGAGCAGCUGGGAUUACAGGUGCAUGCCACCAAGCCCGGCUAAUUUUUGUAUUUUAGUGAAGACAGGGUUUCGUCACGUUGGCCAGGCUGGUCUCAAACUCCUGACCUCAGGUGAUCCUCUGGUGCAUGUUUUAAUGGGGCCAAAAGGAGAUGACACAAGGGCAAGGGGAACCAUAGGCAUCUGUGCAACUCCUGAGUUGCAUGAAAAGGAAGACAAGUUGGAAGAUUGUCAUUUCGAGGAGUGAGUACUUGUUCAUACCGAAAACUGCAGAGAGGACAAGCAAGAUAACCGAAAAAAAUCCAAGAGUCCUUUGGAGGCAGCUAUACGGACUUAAAAGGGCAAAAACCAGUUUAGGAUGGGGUGAGUAGUGAGUUGAAACUGGGGAUCUGGGGACAGUCCCUGCAGAUGACUCUAGAGCAGGGGUAUGGCCUGUGGACUAUAUCCAUUCGUUUUUGACAUCCCUUUUUGCAAAAUGUUACUGGAACACAGCCACACCCAUUGACUCACAUAUUGCCUGUGGUGGCCUUCAUACUGCAUCGGUAAAGCUAAGUCGUUGAAGCAGGGAUCACAGGGCCCACAAG
rnacentral:lncRNA from 10 species